UACGAAGGGGGCUAGCGUUGUUCGGAAUUACUGGGCGUAAAGCGCACGUAGGCGGGUUGUUAAGUCAGGGGUGAAAUCCUGGAGCUCAACUCCAGAACUGCCUUUGAUACUGAAGAUCUUGAGUUCGGGAGAGGUGAGUGGAACUGCGAGUGUAGAGGUGAAAUUCGUAGAUAUUCGCAAGAACACCAGAGGCGAAGGCGGCUCACUGGGUCUCUUCUGACGCUGAGAAACGAAAGCUAGGGGAGCAAACGGG
rnacentral:rRNA from 1 species